GACGAACGCUGGCGGCGUGCCUAACACAUGCAAGUCGAACGAGAGAUGAGGAGCUUGCUCUUCAGAUCGAGUGGCGAACGGGUGAGUAACGCGUGAGGAACCUGCCUCAAAGAGGGGGACAACAGUUGGAAACGACUGCUAAUACCGCAUGACACAUAGGUGUCGCAUGGCACUUAUGUCAAAGAUUUAUCGCUGAAAGAUGGCCUCGCGUCUGAUUAGCUAGUUGGUGAGGUAACGGCCCACCAAGGCGACGAUCAGUAGCCGGACUGAGAGGUUGAACGGCCACAUUGGGACUGAGAUACGGCCCAGACUCCUACGGGAGGCAGCAGUGGGGAAUAUUGGGCAAUGGGCGCAAGCCUGACCCAGCAACGCCGCGUGAAGGAAGAAGGCUUUCGGGUUGUAAACUUCUUUGUCAGGGACGAGUAGAAGACGGUACCUGACGAAUAAGCCACGGCUAACUACGUGCCAGCAGCCGCGGU
rnacentral:rRNA from 1 species